CUGGACUGGGGCAUAGUGCCUCAUACCUGUCCAUACAGGUAAACACUAGACUGGACUGGACUGGGACAUAGUGGCCUCAUACCUGACCAUACAGGUAAACACUAGACUGGACUGGACUGGGGCAUAGUGCCUCAUACCUGACCACACAGGUAAACACUAGACUGGACUGGACUGGGGCAUAGUGCCUCAUACCUGACCAUACAGGUAAACACUAGACUGGACUGGACUGGGGCAUAGUGCCUCAUACCUGUCCAUACAGGUAAACACUAGACUGGACUGGGGCAUAGUGCCUCAUACCUGACCAUACAGGUAAACACUAGACUGGACUGGACUGGGGCAUAGUGCCUCAUACCUGACCAUACAGGUAAACACUAGACUGGACUGGACUGGGACAUAGUGGCCUCAUACCUGACCAUACAGGUAAACACUAGACUGGACUGGACUGGGGCAUAGUGCCUCAUACCUGUCCAUACAGGUAAACACUAGACUGGACUGGACUGGGACAUAGUGGCCUCAUACCUGACCAUACAGGUAAACACUAGACUGGACUGGACUGGGGCAUAGUGCCUCAUACCUGACCACACAGGUAAACACUAGACUGGACUGGACUGGGGCAUAGUGCCUCAUACCUGACCAUACAGGUAAACACUAGACUGGACUGGACUGGGGCAUAGUGCCUCAUACCUGUCCAUACAGGUAAACACUAGACUGGACUGGGGCAUAGUGCCUCAUACCUGACCAUACAGGUAAACACUAGACUGGACUGGACUGGGGCAUAGUGCCUCAUACCUGACCAUACAGGUAAACACUAGACUGGACUGGACUGGGACAUAGUGGCCUCAUACCUGACCAUACAGGUAAACACUAGACUGGACUGGACUGGGACAUAGUGGCCUCAUACCUGACCAUACAGGUAAACACUAGACUGGACUGGACUGGGGCAUAGUGCCUCAUACCUGUCCAUACAGGUAAACACUAGACUGGACUGGACUGGGGCAUAGUGCCUCAUACCUGUCCAUACAGGUAAACACUAGACUGGACUGGACUGGGACAUAGUGGCCUCAUACCUGACCAUACAGGUAAACACUAGACUGGACUGGACUGGGGCAUAGUGCCUCAUACCUGUCCAUACAGGUAAACACUAGACUGGACUGGACUGGGACAUAGUGGCCUCAUACCUGACCAUACAGGUAAACACUAGACUGGACUGGACUGGGUCAUAGUGCCUCAUACCUGACCAUACAGGUAAACACUAGACUGGACUGGACUGGGGCAUAGUGCCUCAUACCUGACCAUACAGGUAAACACUAGACUGGACUGGACUGGGGCAUAGUGCCUCAUACCUGUCCAUACAGGUAAACACUAAACUGGACUGGACUGGGGCAUAGUGCCUCAUACCUGACCAUACAGGUAAACACUAGACUGGACUGGACUGGACUGGGGCAUAGUGCCUCAUACCUGACCAUACAGGUAAACACUAGACUGGACUGGACUGGGACAUAGUGGCCUCAUACCUGACCAUACAGGUAAACACUAGACUGGACUGGACUGGGACAUAGUGCCUCAUACCUGACCAUACAGGUAAACACUAGACUGGACUGGACUGGGACAUAGUGGCCUCAUACCUGACCAUACAGGUAAACACUAGACUGGACUGGACUGGGACAUAGUGGCCUCAUACCUGUCCAUACAGGUAAACACUAGACUGGACUGGGACAUAGUGGCCUCAUACCUGACCAUACAGGUAAACACUAGACUGGACUGGACUGGGGCAUAGUGCCUCAUACCUGACCAUACAGGUAAACACUAGACUGGACUGGACUGGGACAUAGUGGCCUCAUACCUGACCAUACAGGUAAACACUAGACUGGACUGGACUGGGACAUAGUGGCCUCAUACCUGACCAUACAGGUAAACACUAGACUGGACUGGACUGGGACAUAGUGGCCUCAUACCUGACCAUACAGGUAAACACUAGACUGGACUGGACUGGGGCAUAGUGCCUCAUACCUGACCAUACAGGUAAACACUAGACUGGACUGGACUGGGGCAUAGUGCCUCAUACCUGACCAUACAGGUAAACACUAGACUGGACUGGGACAUAGUGCCUCAUACCUGUCCAUACAGGUAAACACUAGACUGGACUGGACUGGGGCAUAGUGCCUCAUACCUGACCAUACAGGUAAACACUAGACUGGACUGGACUGGGACAUAGUGCCUCAUACCUGACCAUACAGGUAAACACUAGACUGGACUGGGGCAUAGUGCCUCAUACCUGACCAUACAGGUAAACACUAGACUGGACUGGGGCAUAGUGCCUCAUACCUGACCAUACAGGUAAACACUAGACUGGACUGGACUGGGACAUAGUGGCCUCAUACCUGUCCAUACAGGUAAACACUAGACUGGACUGGGACAUAGUGGCCUCAUACCUGACCAUACAGGUAAACACUAGACUGGACUGGACUGGGGCAUAGUGCCUCAUACCUGACCAUACAGGUAAACACUAGACUGGACUGGGGCAUAGUGCCUCAUACCUGACCAUACAGGUAAACACUAGACUGGACUGGGGCAUAGUGCCUCAUACCUGACCAUACAGGUAAACACUAGACUGGACUGGGACAUAGUGCCUCAUACCUGUCCAUACAGGUAAACACUAGACUGGACUGGACUGGGGCAUAGUGCCUCAUACCUGACCAUACAGGUAAACACUAGACUGGACUGGACUGGGACAUAGUGCCUCAUACCUGACCAUACAGGUAAACACUAGACUGGACUGGGGCAUAGUGCCUCAUACCUGACCAUACAGGUAAACACUAGACUGGACUGGGGCAUAGUGCCUCAUACCUGACCAUACAGGUAAACACUAGACUGGACUGGGGCAUAGUGCCUCAUACCUGACCAUACAGGUAAACACUAGACUGGAC